rnacentral:rRNA from 1 species
CCUACGGGAGGCAGCAGUGGGGAAUAUUGCACAAUGGAGGAAACUCUGAUGCAGCAAUGUCGCGUGAGUGAAGAAGGCCCUUGGGUCGUAAAGCUCUUUUAUGGGGGAAGAUGAUGACGGUACCCCAAGAAUAAGCACCGGCUAACUAUGUGCCAGCAGCCGCGGUAAUACAUAGGGUGCGAGCGUUGUUCGGAAUUACUGGGCGUAAAGGGCGCGCAGGCGGAAUAGUAAGUCGGAGGUGAAAGCCCGGGGCUCAACCCCGGAGGGUCUUUCGAAACUGCUAAUCUAGAGAGGGUCAGGGGCCGGCAGAAUUCCUGGUGUAGAGGUGAAAUUCGUAGAUAUCAGGAGGAAUACCGGUGGCGAAGGCGGCCGGCUGGGGCCACUCUGACGCUGAGGCGCGAAAGCGUGGGGAGCAAACAGGAUUAGAUACCCUGGUAG